rnacentral:lncRNA from 13 species
AUGACAUAUUUUUACCUUGUCGGCUCGGGGAUUCAAUCUUGCAACCUUCAGGUUACUGCUCUAACCACUAGGGUACCGGCUAAUUCAUCAACAAAGUUCGCUUCCCGAUCGACGCAAGACGCCCUCUUCCCGAUCGACGCAAGACGCCCUCUUCUUACAAGAAGUCCUCUUUCUUACAAGACGUCCUCUUUCUUACAAGACGUCCUCUUUCUUACAAGACGUCCUCUUUCUUACAAGACGUCCUCUUUCUUACAAGACGUCCUCUUUCUUACAAGACGUCCUCUUUCUUACAAGACGUCCUCUUUCUUACAAGACGUCCUCUUUCUUACAAGACGUCCUCUUUCUUACAAGACGUCCUCUUUCUUACAAGACGUCCUCUUUCUUACAAGACGUCCUCUUUCUUACAAGACAUCCUCUUUCUUACAAGAAGUCCUUUGAGCAGUGAAAAACCAUAGCUUGCCGGUCCCUGGUUUGGAAAAGACUGAGAAACACUGCACUGAUUAUUCACCACAAGUAAUACAUUAGAUAAGAUACCCACUUCACAUUGACCCGCUUUUCUUGGUCCAGCAUGUGACAAAUCCUGACUAAUAUAAAGUAUAUCAGUAGUUUCCUGAUGUCAGAGAAAUCCAUUAUGACACCGACUGCACAUAGGUUGGCAGCCAAAUAGCUUGAUCUAAUAACACCAGCCAUGUUAUGGAACAACAUCCGUCUAGCUGUAGUGAGUAAAUAAAAGUAUGUUUUAGUUUCCAUGACAAGUGACGUUUCUGUUGAUAGGCUGGUCUAAAACACACAAACACAGGGGCUGCAGCAGAUACAUACCCAAACAUGUUUGUUGUUACCCAGCGUCCUCCACUGAAUGCUUGUAUGGAAAGAAAAUGGAAGCAGGAAUAAUUCAAAGCCAGACAAAGAGAGCUGUAUAUUUAUGAGACACUGCUUCUGGGUGGCAUGAUGAUGAUCUGACAGGAAAGCAACUAGUACAUGAAAGAUGUAGUAGUCCAUUGGAAAGAAACUAAGAAAGCCCUCCCUCCCUCUGCUCCCACAAGCCCUCCCUCCC